ensembl:lncRNA
UUAACCCAUAAGCUCCUCUGGAUUUCAGGAGUCAUAUUCCUCGGUGUUUUCGUCAUGGUAACAGCGGGGCUGGGAGCAGCACAGCGCCGCUCGAAAACACGCACUUUCCAAUUGACACGUCGGACUGUACCGCUUAUCAACGCGGCUUUCAUCUGCACUGCACUGUACUGUGGGGGCUGGAGGUGCUGCAACACAAUCCACAUUACGUGGGCCUUGUUUGGAGAGAGCCAGCCAACUGCAUAACCUUAAUUAGUCAAGCUGUAUUCAUUCAAGUGAUCACAAUGGCCUGCACAGUAGUGAAGAGAAGCAUCUGUCACUAAAACUCAAA